GUUGUUUAUGUAAGAAUUUCAAGGCCACAACUCCAUAUUUGAAGUAAAGUGCUCAUAAAAUUAAUUGCAAGACUUCUGAAGAGAGAUUUGCUAGGAAAAAUAAAAAGAUAUAUAAAUUUCAGUGAUGCUGAAGGUUUUGAGAAGCCAUCUGCAGCUCACAACUAGAUGAGUGACACAAUCAGAUGUGCGUAUGCAAAAAAAAGCCUGGAGACAUUGAACUAAGAUCAAAUUUAAUGUAUUAAAUAUGGUAGAAAGAAGAGAGAAUGAAAAAUAAUGUUAACAAUCUAGGUGAGGAAUUGCUGAGGAGACAAAUUAAGUAAAUCCUGUGGAAGGAAAGAAGAAAGGAGGAAAGAGGAUUGGAUGGAAGAAUCUCCACUUCUCAUAGGUGUAGUCCUUCCUUAGCCUGCUUUUUAAUGAGUGCUGCUAAAGCCCUUAGCCUGCCUGUUUACCCUUGGAGUGGAGCAAUGAACUGAAGAUAUUUGAGUGAGUUCAAGAGAGACUCAGAAGAGAAGAAUUGGAGGCAGCAAACAUAGACAGCACUUUUAAUGCUUUUCUCAUAUGCUGUAAGACAUGAAAGCAAUCUAUUGGGAUGAAAGCUGAAAGGAGAAGCGGGACAAGAGAAGUGAAUCCGUGGAAGACCCCCAAAAGAGGCUGCAGAUUCUUAGUGGACAGCUCUCAUAUCCCCUCCAGGGAAAAUGAUGAAAAAUGUCUUCAGAAAAAUAGCUUUAUGAAGGCAAGAGGACUUUUUGCACCUGCAAGACAUGUCUGAAAGCUCCUCAGGUCAAAACACAAGUAGUCAAGAGAUUUGUCCAUCUAAUUCAUCAUACUACUCUGAUCCAAGUGAGACCCACACUGGGUCAGCUCCAUCAAGGAGAAGAACAUUCCACCCACGUUUGGAUUCUGGAAUAUCAUCCUUGCUUCCAUCAGAUUCUUGUAAGUACCUCACUUGGCACAAGGUAGACAUGACGUUCAAGGAAGUCAACUGCGUUGCCCAAGAGUAAGAGAAGGAAUCUCUGAAGAAGAGCAACUUUUCAGACAGGUAGAGUGUGCCUUGCUCCCAAGGAAAAGAGUUCUUGAAAAAAACAAAUGGGAAACAUGGCUACAAGAAAACUGGGAAGACUGCAAGAUCCACCAAUAAGAAGACAGCACAAUUCAAAAGAGAAAGGACUUAAUGACAGAGCUAAUAAUGUAAAUCCCAGUAGGUUAGAAGGUGGCCCCAUUUCUGGGACACCUACAGGCAAACUUCUCUAUCAUUCUCUAGGAGUCAAACAUGAUAUUAGUUCAUUACUGCUUAACUUAAAAAAAAAAUCAGUGGCUAGAAAUUCUUGCCAGCUAAGUAUGAAUUUUGAAGCCAGAAGACAUAGAUUUUAAUAUUUGCUUUGUCACCUACAGGCCUUAUGAUUUUGAAUAAGUUACUUAAAAUGAGGGAUAAAAACCAAUCUGACAGAGUUGUUGUGAGGAUUUAAAGAGAUGCAUAGGAAGCAAUUCAUGUUAAGAAAAUCAUGCAGCCAAUGGGGGCUUUCAAGGAGGUCAGUUCCAUCAUUAGCUGACUUAGCAUAUCUGCUAAAAGGUUUCAGUAUCUUUCAUGCAGGCAAAUUCAAAUGCCAUAGAUUUCUCCCAGCCAGAGCCCUCAGAAUUCCCAGAUCUAGAAAAGCUGUCAUUCUAAAGAAAAUGCUGCUUUUUAAUGCCGCUAUGUACAUGACCACUGUUAACUGGAUUGAACUGAAGGAUCUGUUUCUGAACAUAGAAGUGACUCCCUGAAUUUGAAAUAGGAGCUUUAGAAGUGCUCGCUUUCAGGAAAAAAUAACAGCAUAAUAUUAUUUCCCACUCCCUCUUUUAUAUUUAUCAGCCAGAAUUCUUCUUUAACUAUCACUGAAUAUUGUGGGCUUGCUUUACUUUCUCUCUCUUUCUAAACUUUUAACUUUGUAAUGAGCAUAUAUAUCAUGAUCUCAUUCUUUCUCUCAUGGUUAGUUGGCUAAAUCCACUCAUUGAUUUUUUUUCCCUUAUAAGACUGUAAAAACUGGAAUGAAAUUCUCUUAUAAAAACAGAUUGUAGACAGUCCCAUUUCUCUGAUCAAUAUUUACCACCUGCUGAAAGAUCUAUUAGAUCCCUGAAAGGGCAAGCUAUGGCAAGGUCAUCAGGUCAAUUAAUAUGAAUAAUAUUUUAUUUUAGCUCCACUGCAAAGAUAAGCAACACAGAAUGAAGUGAUAGCCAUUCAUCUUCCUUAUAACAAUAGGCAAAGUCCAUUCACUUAUAAAGAGAAUAAGUGAAAUAAAAUGCUUUUGUUCAAUAUAGUUUUUUUUUUUUUAACUUUUGCUUUAGAGUAUUCUCCUGUUUGCCAAACUUAAAAAUGCUGGAUGGAAUCUUGAAGCUACCAGAAGAUUGCUUAUCACCAGAAACCAAUAUUUUUUCAAAAAUAUGCCUUGUAUCCUAAUGCAGUCUGUAUAGAAAGAAAGCAAUCAUCAUUGUUGCUAAAAGCUAAUAAACACAGGACAUGCAUGAUUAAAUAUUGCAGUUUAUUUUAUAUCUUUUUGCUUUUCUAAAUCAAGGUAGGAAAAUAUUUUCUGUAAAGGACCAGAUGGUAAACAUUUCAGGCUUUCUGGGCUAUAUGGUCUCUGUCACAACUACUCAACCCUGCCAUUGUAGUGCAAAAGCAGCCAUUGAUAAUAUGUAAAUGUAUGGGUGUGUCUGUGUCUCAGUAAAACUUUAUUUACAAAAUGA
ensembl:lncRNA LRRC77P leucine rich repeat containing 77, pseudogene